AUUCCUUAUAAUAUUUUGUAAUUCUUUAUUUUUGAAGUGCAACAAGGAUAUCACAAGGAUAUCACCAAAACAUCUUCUUGUCCCUUUAACACCAAAUAAUCUUCUGUUCACAUAUCCAGCAAUUAACAUAAACAGCUGCCCAAUAUAAUCAACUUCUCCAUUUUAUACAAAAUGCAGAAGGGAACUUGCGCACUUACAAAUUUUGAACACAGCUGCUCCUUACACUCCAUUAAGCAAAAACAGAUAUCUUCCAUGUUCUCCCUCCUACAAAACACCCAGCCACAACCAGAAAGGGAAUUCUUCUUUUCCCUACCAUAUAGAGCUGGAAAAAAACAUUUGGGCUUAUCCAUAAAUCAUCUCUGAACCUUGCUGUGCAGGAGGCCAACUACAAGACAGUCAGAUGGCACAACACACCUGCCAAACUACAGACACUAUUCUCUCUCUCUUCCAACCAAUGUUGGAGAUGCC